rnacentral:rRNA from 1 species
GUGUCAGCCGCCGCGGUAAGACGGAGGGUGCUAGCGUUGUUCGGAAUUACUGGGCGUAAAGGGCGCGUAGGCGGCUCUGUAAGUCGGGUGUGAAAGCCCGGGGCUCAACCCCGGAACGGCACCCGAGACUGCGGAGCUCGAGACCGGAAGAGGUGAGUGGAAUACCCAGUGUAGAGGUGAAAUUCGUAGAUAUUGGGUGGAACACCGGUGGCGAAAGCGGCUCACUGGUCCGGUUCUGACGCUGAGGCGCGAAAGCGUGGGGAGCAAACAGGAUUAGAAACCCGAGUAGUCC